ACGUAGGGUGCAAGCGUUGUCCGGAUUUACUGGGCGUAAAGAGCGCGUAGGCGGUCUGCUAAGUGAGAAGUGAAAUCUCCAGGGCUCAACCCGGAAAUUGCUUUUCAUACUGACAGGCUGGAGGAGUGCAGAGGUAUGUGGAAUUCCUGGUGUAGCGGUGAAAUGCGUUGAUAUCAGGAGGAACACCGAUGGCGAAGGCAGCAUACUGGGCACUAUCUGACGCUGAGGCGCGUAAGCGUGGGUAGCAAACAG
rnacentral:rRNA from 1 species